CAGCCCAACAGGAAGACAGAAAACAGUAACAAGGCAGAGGAGACAGAGAUGAACAGCAAGGGCCUACUUUCCGUAGGGCCAUCAGAGGUAUCUGGGAGGAGGCGACAUUCAGGCUGCAUCGUAAAAUAUGCGCUGCUGGCGUCCAGCUUUGUUCAUCUGUGACACGUCAGCAGACCUCACAGGCUGUGGCAAGAAGCCUGGGUUUUAUUGCAAGUGCAAGAGAGAGCCCUGGAAGGUUGUAACAGAGGCGACGAGCCGUGGCUUGGAUCUAAGAUGCUCCUGGCUGCCGUGGGGAACAGUCAUCCCUGUGGGUCACUGGGCGUCGUCCUGCGGACGCCUCGCCUCACACCCCCGUUUGUCACUGGCAUUGCGGAAGAGCUGGAGAGCCACUAGGAUGGAGAGACUCCAAGGCUGAGAGCGCCUGAGAUGGAUGCACAGUUGCUCAAUCGGGACACCAGCCCGGCUCCGCACUGUGACUCUUGAUUCAAACAGAUCUUCCUGUUUUCCAGCGAGGUGCUGGUCCCAGGUCCUCUCCAGGCUCAGGGGACGCAGUUUCACACACGCGUUUCCUUUUACAGAGCUCCCUGGAGAAUACUGUGAAUGUGCGACUGCGUUGGGGUCUCAUAAUAAGGAGGAAAAAUUUUGCUCUUUACACUUACCACCACCGAACACUUUGUUUCUCCUUAUUUUUCCUGCCUGCUGGGCCUUCCUACUCCAGCCUUGCAGACGAAGGCAGCAGCCGCCUCCCAGGACUGGGUGUUCCGUCCCUGAUGCUUGGGGCCGGGCACAGUGUUAGCCAGGGCCGAAGACAAGCCGUCUCUUGUCCCUUCCUCUCCAGCUGUAAUCAAUAGCCUCCUGGUGGCACUGCUGGACCUGGAGACCUGACCUCGUGGUCCCGCUAAUGACUGUGCAGGAAUAAAUAAUUUAGAUUCUUAAUGAGGGUUUGAGCUAUUUCCCCAACGAACCCAACUUUCCGGCUACUGUAGGCCUCAGAGCUCAGCAGCGCGCAUCUCUGAGACUACUGCCGUUUUCACACUCUUUCCUCACAGUCAGAAAGUAUUUGGAAUUUGGUUUUCAAGAAAAGUAUCGAUCUGCUCUGAUGACGGGGCCCCUCGACGGCACGCCUGGGAAGGAAGUCCAUUCCGAGCGUUGCUGGGGGAAGCAAGACGGCAGACCCAGACGUGAGCCCAACUCCUGCCUGGACCUCCCCCACACACGGCAGGAGACAAACCACAAUUUAUGGUUUCUGAGCCCAUUAUGACCUCUUUCUAGGGGUUGCACCGAAAUUUGGGGAGCUUCUGCAGUGCCAAGGAGUGGGUGGCCGGGGCAGCUCGGUGUCCUCGCUGACCAGCUGCACGUUCUCGUUUCUGUCCAGUCUUUGGUGGCUGGUGCAUGAGUCACUGCCAUGCCGGCCCCAUGUCCCCAGGUCUCCAGCUCUGUGCUGUGCCUCACUCAGUUGUUCACGACGUUUCACUGCUCUGUGCCAUCUCGGCGACAAGACCUCCAUCCCCAGGGCCUCUGGGGCCCAGGGACCACAGCCUGACCCUCUGCCGCAGCUUGUGACACUGAGCGACUCAGCCCCUGUGCCUGCAUCAAAGACUGCCAACUGGAGCCCCACAGGUGGCCCUCAGACGUGUCUGCUUUGAUCCAUACUAAUUAGUAAAAAGAAAUAAAAAUUAGAGCCAACGCAUAAAUCAGAAGAUUUCACAUAUUUUGGAUCCUCCUCCUAUUUCUCUGAGCCCACAAAUAGUCUUAUAUCACCUCAAAACUAUGUCCCCGCAAUAUGGCUCAAUGUGCCACUUUGAGCUCACUGUUUCCAGGUCUGCUCGCACCUUACUCUGUGUGGAGCCAGAGACCAGGCAUCCCCUGGGCCCCGGCACCCCUUGGACUGUCUGUGACAAGGAUCAGUUUAAAAUUUUCCCAUUGACCACAGACCAAUACUUCUGUAAAAUACGAUAAAAAUGUAACACCAGAAAAUGAAA